CACGGCCACGCGCGCACUGUUUCCGAACGAGCGCCGCACCUCGAGGCAAGAUUCAUUCAUUCUCGGGAUUCAUUCGCAGUUGGCCGCUGUCAGCAGCACAGGUAGGAGCUCCUCCUCGCUUGGACAACCCAGCGGAAAAGCGGUUUCGAAGCUAUCCGUUAGGGGUGCCCAGGUUUCUCCUGUGUCUCCGCGAACGCUACGUGCGUUUUCCGAGCAGCCAUGGCGUCCGUUCUGCAGACCAUUGAUACUGCUCACGAAGACAUGAUU